rnacentral:tRNA from 1 species
GGCGGCGUAGCCAAGUAGUAAGGCAACUCUCUGCAAAAGAGUUAUACAUGGGUGCGAUUCCCAUCGCCGCCU